ACUCCUACGGGAGGCAGCAGUGGGGAAUUUUGGACAAUGGGCGAAAGCCUGAUCCAGCAAUGCCGCGUGAGUGAAGAAGGCCUUCGGGUUGUAAAGCUCUUUUGUCAGGGAAGAAACGGUGAAAGCUAAUAUCUUUUGCUAAUGACGGUACCUGAAGAAUAAGCACCGGCUAACUACGUGCCAGCAGCCGCGGUAAUACGUAGGGUGCAAGCGUUAAUCGGAAUUACUGGGCGUAAAGCGUGCGCAGGCGGUUUUGUAAGUCUGAUGUGAAAUCCCCGGGCUCAACCUGGGAAUUGCAUUGGAGACUGCAAGGCUAGAAUCUGGCAGAGGGGGGUAGAAUUCCACGUGUAGCAGUGAAAUGCGUAGAUAUGUGGAGGAACACCGAUGGCGAAGGCAGCCCCCUGGGUCAAGAUUGACGCUCAUGCACGAAAGCGUGGGGAGCAAACAGGAUUAGAAACCCUAGUAGUCCCA
rnacentral:rRNA from 1 species